UGGUUCCGUAGCUCAGCUGGAUAGAGCAACGCCCUUCUAAGGCGUGGGUCAAGCGUUCGAAUCGCUUCGGAAUCACUUA
rnacentral:tRNA from 3 species